GGUAUUUCCUCCUUAAAGGAACACUGUCACCUCAACAUUAUCAAUAAGAUUAUUCAGCCAUUUACAUGCAUCUUGGGUCAGACAGUGGUUGAGUUUGAAAGUUAUUCGAUCUGAUUGUUUUUCUGCACUGUGUAGGGAGUGAAGCUGGGAAUACCGUAGAGACUAUACAGAGAUUUUCAAAUACGGAUAAUCCAUAUAAAAAGUAUGUUGAGGUGACAGUCGUUCCUUAAUACCUUCACUUUGUGUCAAAAUGCCAAUUAAUGCCACUAUUAGAGAUGUGGUUUGGUGGACAGCCGUGAUUGCCAUGCAUGCUCUUUAUGUCCUCAAUACAAAAAAAUCAUAUCUGAUUUAUUGGAAGGAGAGGCAGCUGCAGAGGGGGAAAUUACAGAUGUUUUAUAGCCUUUCUCCACCCGCCUAUCUAUUCUCUAAUACUGUAGCUUUAAAAAUAUAUAUGAAAGCACCAUCUAGAAUGGAUAUUUGUCUGAGUCUG